rnacentral:rRNA from 1 species
AUGCCGCGCCACCUGCUGCAGCAGUCCGUCGACCGGCUCGCCGCACUGGCCGCGCCUCCGGCAGCCGCCAUGGCGCACGGCGGGACGAGCGUGCACACGGACACGCUGCUCAUCCUGGCGGCGGUGCUCUGCUUCCUGCUCUGCGUGGUCGGGCUCGCCAUGGUGGCCCGCUGCUCCCGCCUGUGCAACCCCUCCGCCUUCUCCGUCGACGCGCCGGGGGCAGUGGCGGCGCCGUGCAAGGGGAUCAAGAAGAAGGCGCUGCAAGCGCUGCCCACCGUGUCGUGGCGGCCGGAGCAGGGCGACCAGGAGGAGGCGGGGGAAAAGCCGGAGUGCGCCAUCUGCCUGGCGGAGUUCGCGCCCGGCGACGAGGUGCGCGUGCUCCCGACGUGCGGCCACGGCUUCCACGCCGCCUGCGUCGACGUCUGGCUGCUCUCCAGCUCCACCUGCCCAUCCUGCCGCCGCGCCCUCGUCGUGUCGCCGGCGCCGUCGGCCACCGAGCCGCCCCCUCCCCAAACAUGUUGCGAGCGCGCCGACGUCCUUGCGGCGCAGGCCUCGGCCGCCGUCUCUGGCCCCGGCCGUUGCCGGCCGUCGGCACAGUAG